GUGGGCGUGGCGCAGUGGUAGCGCAGCGGCUUGUGGUGCCGUUGGUCGGGGGUUCGAAUCCCCUCGUUCACCCCA
rnacentral:tRNA from 1 species